GUGCGGGUAGCUCAGCAUGGAUAGAGUGUCGGACUUCUAAUCCGAUGGUCGAGGGAUCGAAGCCCUCCCCGCGCG
rfam:Candidatus Nitrosopelagicus brevis strain CN25, complete genome.